rnacentral:rRNA from 1 species
AUGAGACUUCGGUGGAUUUUAGAAUUCUUAGUGGCGGACGGGUGAGUAACGCGUGGGCAACCUACCCUGUACAGGGGGACAACAGCUGGAAACAGCUGCUAAUACCGCAUAAGCGCACAGUAUCGCAUGAUGCCGUGUGAAAAACUCCGGUGGUACAGGAUGGGCCCGCGUUGGAUUAGGUAGUUGGUGGGGUAACGGCCUACCAAGCCGACGAUCCAUAGCCGACCUGAGAGGGUGACCGGCCACAUUGGGACUGAGACACGGCCCAAACUCCUACGGGAGGCAGCAGUGGGGAAUAUUGCACAAUGGGGGAAACCCUGAUGCAGCGACGCCGCGUGAGCGAAGAAGUAUUUCGGUAUGUAAAGCUCUAUCAGCAGGGAAGAAAAUGACGGUACCUGACUAAGAAGCCCCGGCUAACUACGUGCCAGCAGCCGCGGUAAUACGUAGGGGGCAAGCGUUAUCCGGAUUUACUGGGUGUAAAGGGAGCGUAGACGGCUUUGCAAGUCUGAUGUGAAAGGCGGGGGCUCAACCCCUGGACUGCAUUGGAAACUGUGAGGCUUGUGUGCCGGAGAGGUAAGCGGAAUUCCUAGUGUAGCGGUGAAAUGCGUAGAUAUUAGGAGGAACACCAGUGGCGAAGGCGGCUUACU